UACAGAGGUCUCAAGCGUUGUUCGGAUUCAUUGGGCGUAAAGGGUGCGUAGGCGGCGCGGUAAGUCGGGUGUGAAAUCUCAGGGCUCAACCCUGAAACUGCAUUCGAUACUGCCUUGCUCGAGGACUGGAGAGGAGAUUGGAAUUCACGGUGUAGCAGUGAAAUGCGUAGAUAUCGUGAGGAAGACCAGUGGCGAAGGCGGAUCUCUGGACAGUUCCUGACGCUGAGGCACGAAGGUCAGGGGAGCAAACGGG
rnacentral:rRNA from 1 species